rnacentral:rRNA from 1 species
AUUGAACGCUGGCGGCAUGCUUUACACAUGCAAGUCGAACGGUAACAGGCCGCAAGGUGCUGACGAGUGGCGAACGGGUGAGUAAUGCAUCGGAACGUGCCCAGUCGUGGGGGAUAACGCAGCGAAAGCUGUGCUAAUACCGCAUACGAUCUAUGGAUGAAAGCGGGGGACCGUAAGGCCUCGCGCGAUUGGAGCGGCCGAUGUCAGAUUAGGUAGUUGGUGGGGUAAAGGCCUACCAAGCCGACGAUCUGUAGCUGGUCUGAGAGGACGACCAGCCACACUGGGACUGAGACACGGCCCAGACUCCUACGGGAGGCAGCAGUGGGGAAUUUUGGACAAUGGGCGCAAGCCUGAUCCAGCAAUGCCGCGUGCAGGAAGAAGGCCUUCGGGUUGUAAACUGCUUUUGUACGGAACGAAACGGUCUGGGUUUAUACCCUGGGCUAAUGACGGUACCGUAGGAAUAAGCACCGGCUAACUACGUGCCAGCCGCCGCAGUAACAC